rnacentral:lncRNA from 1 species
UUAGUGAUUCAGGAUCUUGUUGCAUUUAUUCACUUAACUACUUUUUAUCUUAUUUAUCUCCUAAGAUAUACAGGGCUCUUGGGAAUACGGCAUGACAAAGCAGACAUCAUUCUUCAAAGAUAAAGUCUUCAAAGAUAAAGCUCUGUCCAGGGUGGAAAGGCCUCACAAUGGAGCUUUGCAUUCCCAUGUUUGCAUGUGA